UCGUAAGCUUCCAACAAGUUCUUAAAGAGAAUAUUUUAGAAACGUUUUGGAAGCGAGAUUCUGCAAGCUUCCACAAGGUUCCGAUUCCGAUUCCGGUUCCGAAGCAGGAAGCGGACGUCCGAUGAAGCUUCCGUGCAACGUACGAGUAUAUACAAUUGUUAAUUAUCUCUAUUAUUAAUAAGGAAUGUGCAUAUUCUGUUUUGCGUAACAAUCAAAACUACCAAAAGAUUGUGAUUUAUCCUAUUAAACCUAUCAUUCACAUUGCCAACUAUAUAUAUCUCCUCUGUCCUACGUGAAAAACAUAUCACCGCAAUCCACCAAGAAAGUAAACAUAUCUAAGCUUACAACUUUUUCCCCUCUCACCAAACUAAGACCUUUCAAAGACAACUGGCGAGUUCGAGUGAAGCGUUUGCAUUCAUGGAAGCAAACGACAACCUAUGGAGGGGAUACCUUCGAGAUGAUUUUUGCUGAUGAAUGGGUAACGUUUUGGUGACAUUUUGUUCCAAUCUUUACACUUCAUUCUAAGCUGAACUUUUUUUUUAUUAGGGUAACAAGAUCCAGGCUACUUGCAAACGAACUCUCAUGUACCGAGUUCAACGUGAUUUGCUGAAAGGGGAAUGGGGAGUUAUUGAAAAAUGUCACCAACAUCCAGCUGGUGGUCAAUAUCGAGCUACAGAUCAUCCUUACAAGAUGACGAUAGCAGAGGACGCCAUCCUAUCCGGUUCGAAUUUUAGUGAUGAUAGAAUGUUUCUGAAUCUUGCCAGUUAUGAACAAAUUGAAAAUGGAACUCUAAAGGCACCUUUCCUCAUAGGCAAUCUCUAAUUUGAUUGUAUAUAUAUAUUUUGUACUGUUUUGGUUAAUUUACGAUAUAAGAAACAUAAACUAUGUUUUAUGCAUUUUCUGGCAGAUGUAAUAGGGAGAGUCCAUGAACUUGGUGAUGUUCAAACCGUCCAGGUGUCAGGAGAAAACAGAAAAAGAGUUCUAUUUCGCUUGGUUGACGCCGAGUUUGUUAUUCGAAACCUCUGUUUUUACAUUGUAUUCUAUAGUUAUAUUCUCAUUUAUUUGUCUACUAAUUACAUGUAAUUUAUUAAUGGUCAGAGGAAACAAUAUUGCAUGUUGUCUUUGGGGAACUUAGGCUGAGCAACUAGAACCUUUUACUGAGAACACCAAAGAUCAAACAAUUGUUUGUUUGAUAAGAUUUGCUAAAAUCAGCUACUUUAGAGGUAUGAAUAUUGCUUCUUAAAACACUGGUUGGUUAAUGUAUUUUUCAUUGCCCUAAUUAAAUUUUAAUGUGCGUGUAGGAGAGUUACAAAUCACCAAUGCUUUUGAUGCGUCCCUCAUGUACCUCAAUCCAGUGAUUCCUGAAAUUGCAGAUUUAACACAAAGGCUGUCAGAUGAUCAUCAAUCUCUUGCUGUGGUAUACAAACAGAAAGGAAAGGAGUCUAAAAGAAUUGUGUAUAACUAGGAUGAUGCUGAGAUCAAAUCUAUUUCAGAAGUUAACAAGGCCAAUCAGGUGGAGAUUUGCAAAGUCAUAUGUACUAUUGAAGCAAUAGAUACAGAUUGGACAUGGUUUUACUUCGGCUGCAACCGUCACAACAAACGUGUCACUAAGCUUCCUAAUGUUGAUUAUGGUAGGAUGACAAAAAUUGAUAAACCAUUGUUUCGUUGUGAAGGUUGUCAAAAUAGUAUCACUAACGUGUCGCCCAAGUAAGUGAUUUUUAACUGUUUUACGAGUUGAAUCAUAUUAUAGCUUUAUCAUCUUAUGUUUGUGACAAUAUUAUUUUGGGUUUUCUCAUUAGAUUCAAACUACAUUUGAUUGUCAAAGACUACACCUCAACCUGUAAGCUAAUGUUGCUGGGCUCUAUUGCUAAGUCCAUCAUUGGAGUUCCUGCUGUUGACCUAUGGGAUGGCUCCUAUGAGGAGGUAUUAUCUUAAAAAUAAUUCUGUUUUAAUCACUUACUUAACACAUUGAUCCCUUAUUGUUUUAUUUGUAAUUAUUGGUAGAUUGAAGAUCCAGAGAUACUACCAUCAGCUAUAAAAAAAUUCACGAUCUAUUUUUUUCUGAGGAAAUCAAAAGUCUCUGUUUUCACUUGGAAACGUAAACAAAAAAAAUCUGUUUGUUCCCGGAAAAAAGUGUAACAGAACCCUAAUGGACAUUUAAUAAAUCAUGAUUUUUUAAGCCCAAAUCAUUAUUGUUAUUAACAGCCCUCAUUUCAUCACGAUAUUGGGCUUCCCAAAUUAUACCCUUUUUUUUUCAUUUGGUUCUUUCUGAUUUGUUUUUUUUGGUUUACAAAAUAAUCAUCACAACUUUUGCAUUUAGAAAAUGAAUUUAAAACUAACAAUGAUUCUUAAAUUCUGUAAAAAAACAUUUAAUUAAGUAGAUUAAUAUAGAUUUUGUUACCGUAAAAUUUGUAAAUCUUUUGCAUAAUAAAAUUUAGUAUAUGAAAACAUUUCAAUAUAACUUAUAGAGUAUGAAGAACAAAUGAUAUACUAAGCCUAUUAUAAACACAAAAUAAUAUGAUCACCAUAUAAACUGAAAAACAUAUAAACAAUACAUAUUAUAAUAUGGAACUCAUAUUAUGUUUAAACAUGUGAAAUUAUCUAACACUUGAAUGAUCCGUAAACAAAACAUUCAGAAAAAUAUAUCACCCGCGCGGGCGCGCGGGUCAAAAGCUAGUCUACUUUAUUAAAACAGAAGUACACAUAUAGAUUAGGGAGAAUUGGAAAAAUGGGACACUUUGAACUUUUAUUUGUCAUAAUAAGACUUUUCAUAUUUUUACUAAUUUUGGACAUGUUUUACCCUUCUUUAAUAGGAAAAAUAGUAAAUUGAAUUUUAAAAAUGUAAAAAAAUAUGAAAACUGUUGGAAACAUAAGUAUGACAAUAUAUAUGUUUAAACUUUUUUUAAAAAAAAAUUGGAAUCAUAUCUUAUUUUAUCUUCUAGGUACAGUUAGAAAACUCAUUCUGGUAAUCUACCUAGUUUAUAUGUCCGAUUCUAAGUUUUAAACAUAGAUAUAUCAAGGUUAUAUACCGUAAACUAACAUUUCUUGUAUAUUCUAGCACAAGUAGAAUCUAUUACGUUAUAAUCAAGACAUAUGUCUUCGGUCUGCCUACAGUUUGAUAACGAUAUAUAGCCACAAUUCAAUGAUAUAGGUUGGUUAUACUACGUGACAUAACUUGUUCUGCCUUUUACCUUAUAUGAUGCCUACAGGAAGAAUACAUCUCUCACCUCCUAUACGGUGUUCUGGUUAGAUAGUGUACAUAUUCUAUGCAAAUCGUGAAAAUAUGGAAAUUUCCAUAUUCGGUUUAAGAAGUUUCCUAAAUUUCCUAAAUCUUUGAUAUGUAUACUAGUUUAUAUACUAUCAAAUAUAAUAAAAAUCUUAAAAUUAAUCAUUGAUUAAUCCUUGAUUAAUCCAUGAUUAAUUUCUGGGUUAUUGUAUAUAUUGAAUUUUCAUAUAACAUGGUCAAAAGUACACAUCUGUAAGUUUAAGACGAAAUCAUAAGGAUAUUUUUGUAAAUUUGGAAGAUUGGGGCAAACAUUAAAACAACAGAAAAUUCAGUGACCAAUGCUGAAAAUAAGAAUAAUGGCUGGUCUAGAUUGCACAAUUGAAAGUUUUGGAAUUAAAUCUAGGAGCAAUAUGCACAAACAUAAAACUAUGGGACAAAUCCGUGAUUAGGCAAAAACUUUAAGGACCUGUCUUGCAAAAUUACCCAAACCGGCCAUUGUUGCUCUUCGACAAGCUUUUCUUCGAUCCGCGACGGUAAGAGCUGAUGAUUCCGACGUAACGGAGACAGUGGAGUGAGGUAGAGAGCACAACGAGAUUGGAGCCUUCGGAUACGAAACGGAGGAGUGACAUCACGAGUUGAUGCCGUGUAGGAAGCUUGGUCGCAGCGAAGGAACAAAGCAUGACCACGAAUUCGACGAGACAAAUUGGACGAGACGAAGUCGACACAGAGCAAAGCACAGUGGUGAGGAGCUAAAGAAGACGAUUAGAGGUUGGGAUCGUGGAUUUCAUUUUUUUUCCCUUCAGUUUUUACUUUUUUUUUUCUUUUUAAUAAAACGUAAAUCAAUUAUUAAAUAUUAAUAUUAAUUAAAUUUAUUGAAGGGUAUAAUGGUAUUAAAAAACUAUAAAUCUUAGUUAACUAAAUAAUCUUCUACAAGUUCUAUUGAGACAAAUCUAAGUUGAAAGUGUCUCUUUUUUCCAAUUUUCCCUAUAGAUUAUCCCUUAGAGUUGCAUAUUAUUUACAAUCAAAUGCCAUUGAAAAUUUAAUUAGUUUAAUAUUAAUAAAUGCUGUCUUUUACACGAAUACUCAUAUUUCCUAUAAUAACUCAAACAACCGAGAUUGAAGUGAACAAAAUAUUAUAUGGAAAUGUUGUUCUUUUCCACGUAUACAAAAAUUUCCUUUGCCACCAUAUCAGUUCUCCUGCAAUAUCAAAUAAGCCCAAAUCAUUAUAAAGAUCGGUUUCAAUAAGGUGAUAUCGUAAUUGAAAACAAUGUAAACUUUAUGAAUAAUUCAC